CCUGUUCCCAUUCCGAACACAGAA
rnacentral:rRNA from 2 species